CGGAGGCUCCCGGGAGCGGGCGGCGCGGGGUUAGCGCGGCAAGCGGACAGCGGCGCGACCUCCCGGGCAGCCAGCGUGGACUGAGCGGCGCGCGUGCCGAGCAUGGCGGGCUCCUUGCCUCCCUGCGUGGUGGACUGCGGCACCGGGUAUACCAAGCUUGGCUACGCAGGCAACACUGAGCCACAGUUCAUUAUUCCUUCAUGUAUUGCCAUCAGAGAGUCUGCAAAGGUGGUCGACCAAGCCCAGAGGAGGGUGUUGAGGGGUGUGGACGACCUGGACUUCUUCAUAGGGGACGAAGCCAUAGAUAAACCCACGUAUGCCACAAAGUGGCCAAUAAGACACGGAAUAAUUGAAGACUGGGAUCUAAUGGAAAGGUUCAUGGAACAAGUGAUUUUUAAAUAUCUUCGAGCUGAGCCUGAGGAUCAUUAUUUUUUAAUGACAGAACCUCCACUGAACACACCAGAAAACAGAGAAUAUCUUGCAGAAAUUAUGUUUGAAUCAUUUAAUGUACCAGGACUCUACAUUGCAGUUCAGGCAGUGCUGGCCUUAGCAGCGUCUUGGACCUCGCGGCAAGUGGGUGAACGUACGUUAACGGGGAUCGUCAUCGACAGUGGGGAUGGGGUCACCCAUGCUAUCCCAGUGGCAGAAGGGUAUGUCAUUGGGAGCUGCAUCAAACACAUCCCUAUCGCAGGGAGAGAUAUUACGUAUUUCAUGCAACAGCUGCUGAGGGAGCGGGAGGUGGGGAUUCCUCCGGAGCAGUCGCUGGAGACUGCCAAAGCCAUCAAGGAGAAAUACUGUUAUAUUUGCCCUGAUAUCGUCAAGGAAUUUGCCAAGUAUGAUGUGGAUCCUCAGAAGUGGAUCAAACAGUACACGGGGAUCAAUGCAGUCAACCAGAAGAAGUUCAUCAUAGAUGUUGGCUACGAAAGGUUCCUGGGCCCUGAGAUUUUCUUUCACCCGGAGUUUGCCAACCCAGACUUUAUGGAGUCCAUCUCGGACGUUGUUGAUGAAGUCAUUCAGAGCUGCCCCAUCGAUGUCCGUCGUCCGCUGUAUAAGAAUGUCGUUCUUUCGGGGGGCUCGACGAUGUUCAGGGACUUUGGACGUCGCCUGCAGAGAGACUUAAAAAGGGUGGUGGACGCCAGACUGAGACUCAGCGAGGAGCUCAGUGGCGGCAGAAUAAAGCCCAAGCCCGUGGAGGUCCAGGUGAUAACACAUCAUAUGCAGCGCUAUGCGGUGUGGUUCGGAGGCUCGAUGCUGGCCUCAACUGUGGGUGUGCGAUGCCGUAGCACACGUGUGUGAGAGGACCUCCCUCCGCUGUGUCACCGUCUGCAGUGUGGUCAGCGGGAGAGCCCAGCGGAAGAAAUGACCCCACAGGAAUCUUGAAGACGUGUGCCGCCUGGACUACAAGACAGACCCGAUAAAACCCUGGACACCACGGCACAGGUUGCACCUGCAAUCAAACGUGAGCACAUCAUCUUUGCUCAGGCUGUGUUAUAGGGAAUCCUGGCUAACACAGCAUGCUAUGAUAAUGGGAUGGAUUAAAGGAAGUUGCAAAGAAUGGAAUUUUGCAGAACAACUUGCCUUCCUCGAGAGACAUGGCUCUGUUGUCCGAGUCAUCACAGAAUGAGUGCUACAGGGGUAACCUGGGCUUGGCAAGUGGCUCAAUGCUUCCCAGCUCUUCAGGAACUGGGAAGUAGGCAUUUCUUUAUGGCAACGGCAAGAUGAGUGGAAUCUGCUGAUCCCGUGGGUGGAGAUGGAGCUGGAAGGAGGGACCCUGCCAGGCUGUGCAGCCCGAGCUGGUGGCGGCUGCCCCGGAAGAAGGCUGUUUGGGUGCCGUGCAGUUCUUGGAGGAUUUGAAUGAGUUUAUAUUCAGAAUGAAAUGUGACCAGAUGGACCAGAAUCUCCCUGAGACUCAACUGAGCAAACCUUCUCCUCGUCACUCAGUCAUUGGGCACCGUCUACACACUAAGAAUCUGAGAUGAGCAACAGCUGUGAGACCCUCCUAAAGCUCCUUGAGAAGAUGAAAUGACCAUCUCAUGGGGUUUAGAUAAAAGGAAAUGAUCAUGAAGAUGGAGAGAAUGACCAUGAAAAAGACGAAGGAAGGUUAGGAGGGGGAACAGAAUGAGGAGAAAGUAACAUUUCACCUUGGGAAAGUCACUGCAGCUUUGAACCUCAGUUCCCUGAUCUGUCAAAGGCUACUGCACUUGCCUCUCUUUUUGUGACGAUAAAGCGAAACAACAGAUAAGAAAAGAUCUCAACAACUGUGAAUUGCUAUAUACAUGGAGGCAUGAAGGUCUAGUAAAGAUAUUAUGUAUCAAUAAGUCAUGUGACCUUUCACAGCGGGUCAGAUG